rnacentral:rRNA from 1 species
AGUGAACGCUGGCGGUAGGCCUAACACAUGCAAGUCGAACGGCAGCACAGUAAGAGCUUGCUCUUACGGGUGGCGAGUGGCGGACGGGUGAGGAAUACAUCGGAAUCUACUUUUGCGUGGGGGCUAACGUAGGGAAACUUACGCUAAUCCCGCAUACGACCUACGGGUGAAAUCAGGGGAUCUUCGGACCUUGCGCGAUUGAAUGAGCCGAUGUCGGAUUAGCGAGUUGGCGGGGUAAAGGCCCACCAAGGCGACGAUCCGUAGCUGGUCUGAGAGGAUGAUCAGCCACACUGGAACUGAGACAAGGUCCAGACUCCUACGGGAGGCAGCAGUGGGGAAUAUUGGACAAUGGGCGCAAGCCUGAUCCAGCCAUACCGCGUGGGUGAAGAAGGCCUUCGGGUUGUAAAGCCCUUUUGUUGGGAAAGAAAAGCAGCAGGUUAAUACCCCGCUGUUCUGACGGUACCCAAAGAAUAAGCACCGGCUAACUUCGUG